AGGAGAAUGGCGCGGCAGCCACAGCAAGGCUCCGUCACCCCGCGCUGAAAAAGCCCAACGCCCAUGCGCGACAGUUACCGGCUCCUGCCGCCCCGCCCUUCAGGCAUAAGGAGGAGGGGGAAGAACGAGCGGCGGCGGCGGCGGCGGCGAUUGGGAGGAGUUAACGUUUGGGGGCGGGGCCGCGGGCGCAGCCUUUUGCGCGCUAUGCCUGAGAAGGUAGCCGGGCUGCCGCCGUCUGGGUACUGUCCCGGGCUGCGCCGCCUUUCCAGCCACUGGUGCAAUGGGAGAGGAGAGCGUGCCCGCCCCCCAGCUCAGUGGAGCGGCUACUCCAUGGUUGCUGGCCUUACCCCCACACGGUUGCGUAACGUCGCGCUGUUCUUUGCCCCUACAUGGGAGGCGGAAGUGCAGCCCAGGAAGGACCAGUUUGGGGGGGAGCCAGGAACCCUUCACUCACCUUGUGGGGGUAAAAAGGAUGGAGAAGUGGAGAACUUGGCCCCAUACUAGCAAGAUUCCAUUUGUUCACUGAUUACUUUUGGAACAGAAAAGGUGCAGUGGACACAGCGUGCAGGUGCAAAGCCCAGGACCAUCUACUCUCCGGCUGAUUUAGAGCCUUCGAGGAGGACUACUGGAGAGGCCCGACAACUGUUGGACUUCGUCCCAGGCGGGGAGACCCUAUGGGAAGAUGGACACCAGGAAAGCAGGACCCUCCACAGUGUCAGUUUGUAGCUUUUAAAAUGCAGAUUUAAAAGAGACAGAAGGAUGAACAACUCUGUUGUGCAGGUGGAAACAAUUACAAGAAUCAGGCUGGAAUUUUGAAACUGAUAUUCCUCUCUCUGCUUACCACAUUAAAAAGUAGCUUGGAAUCUUUAUGACUUGUAAUAUAAGAAAAUAUAUCAGCAAUAUUCAGGAUAAUUUGGAAUCUGCAUUCACAUGUUUAUAUAUAUAUAUAUGUAUUUUAAUAUGCACUGUAUAUAUUAUAUAUCUGUAAUAUACAUAAAGAUCUGUACACAUAUAUAAACUCAAAUCUGUGUUUCACAUCAACAUCUACUGUAUGCUUCAUGAAGGAGACAAGACCCAUGUGUUUUGCAGAAGCUUUUAAAGCUGUUUCAUUUAUUUUAUUAGCCUUUAAUGAAUGUAAUUAGAACCCAAGUAAUUAAAUGCAAUUGUGCUCAGUAUGUUCCUGUUGUAAAUUGCCCUAAACAAUGUGCAUGGUGUGAACAAAUUUGUGGGAUUAAUAGAGGAUAGAUAAUGUUUUUGGAUAGUAUUUCACACUAAACGGCCGCAGAGAGAAACAAAGAAGCUGGCGCAGUGUCAUUAAUCUUAGUCAACUGGCAGCUCUGGUGUAAUUUGCAUGACUUAGGCCGUGACACAAGA